GAUAUUCGACGUCAUAACCACCAUCAAGUUUGGUGUUUAUGACGUCGAUAUUCGACGUCAUAAACACCAUCAAGUUUGGUGUUUAUGACGUCGAUAUUUGACGUCAUAAACACCAUCAAGUUUGGUGUUUAUGACGUCGACGUCAUAAACACCAUCAAGUUUGGUGUUUAUGACGUCGAUAUUCGACGUCAUAAACACGAUCAACUUUGGUGUUUAUGACGACGAUAUUCGACGUCAUAAACACGAUCAACUUUGGUGUUUAUGACGACGAUAUUC
rnacentral:miRNA from 1 species